CUCGCGGGGUGCCGGCAGCCGCUCUGCGGCGGGGCGCGGCUCCGCUGUUCGUGCUGGGCGCCGCGACAUCGGUCCGGCCGUCAAAUCGAACGGGACGCCGACUGCCUAAUGCGGCCGCUUUGGGCGAAAGGUUGGACAGGAGCGCAGCGCUUACCCCUUCAGCGUGGAUCCCAGCUUUCUGAAGAGUCUGCAAUAAAGAACGUUACGCGCAGAACUAAAACUCCUCCUU
rnacentral:lncRNA from 1 species